rnacentral:rRNA from 1 species
UACGAAGGGGGCUAGCGUUGCUCGGAAUCACUGGGCGUAAAGCGCACGUAGGUGGAUUGCUAAGUCAGGGGUGAAAUCCUGGAGCUCAACUCCAGAACUGCCUUUGAUACUGGCGAUCUCGAGUCCGGGAGAGGUGAGUGGAACUGCGAGUGUAGAGGUGAAAUUCGUAGAUAUCGAGAGGAACACCGGUGGCGAAGGCGGCUAUCUGGACGAUGACUGACGCUGAGAACGCGAAAGCGUGGGGAGCAAACAGG